rnacentral:sRNA from 1 species
UUUUAAGUAAGAAAUAUUUUAAUUGUUUCAUUCGUUUGAAAAACUCUUAAAAUUUUUACAUUAAUAAUUGCAAAUAUUUAAGUGCAAAAGCACUAGGAGGUUUUUUCUAUGAACGAAGGAACAGUAAAAUGGUUUAACUCAGAAAAAGGAUUUGGAUUUAUCGAGCAGGAAGCUGGAGACGACGUAUUCGUACACUUCUCAGCAAUCCAGGCUGAUGGUUACAAAUCAUUAGAAGAAGGACAAAAAGUUAACUUUGAAAUCGAAGAAGGACAACGUGGCCCACAAGCUACUAACGUUACUGCGAUAUAAUAUAGAACUUUCAGGAGACAGCCCCGGCUGUCUCUUUUUU